AGUGAACGCUGGCGGUAGGCCUAACACAUGCAAGUCGAACGGCAGCACAGUAAGAGCUUGCUCUUACGGGUGGCGAGUGGCGGACGGGUGAGGAAUACAUCGGAAUCUACUUUUUCGUGGGGGAUAACGUAGGGAAACUUACGCUAAUACCGCAUACGACCUACGGGUGAAAGCAGGGGAUCUUCGGACCUUGCGCGAUUGAAUGAGCCGAUGUCGGAUUAGCUAGUUGGCGGGGUAAAGGCCCACCAAGGCGACGAUCCGUAGCUGGUCUGAGAGGAUGAUCAGCCACACUGGAACUGAGACACGGUCCAGACUCCUACGGGAGGCAGCAGUGGGGAAUAUUGGGCAAUGGGCGCAAGUCUGAUCCAGCCAUACCGCGUGGGUGAAGAAGGCCUUCGGGUUGUAAAGCCCUUUUGUUGGGAAAGAAAAGCAGCAGGUUAAUACCCCGCUGUUCUGACGGUACCCAAAGAAUAAGCACCGGCUAACUUCGUG
rnacentral:rRNA from 1 species